UGGGGAAUAUUGCACAAUGGGCGCAAGCCUGAUGCAGCCAUGCCGCGUGUAUGAAGAAGGCCUUCGGGUUGUAAAGUACUUUCAGUCGGGAGGAAGGUGGUAAGGUUAAUAACCUUAUCAAUUGACGUUACCGACAGAAGAAGCACCGGCUAACUCCGUGCCAGCAGCCGCGGUAAUACGGAGGGUGCAAGCGUUAAUCGGAAUUACUGGGCGUAAAGCGCACGCAGGCGGUCUGUCAAGUCGGAUGUGAAAUCCCCGGGCUCAACCUGGGAACUGCAUUCGAAACUGGCAGGCUAGAGUCUUGUAGAGGGGGGUAGAAUUCCAGGUGUAGCGGUGAAAUGCGUAGAGAUCUGGAGGAAGACCGGUGGCGAAGGCGGCCCCCUGGACAAAGACUGACGCUCAGGUGCGAAAGCGUGGGGAGCAAACAGG
rnacentral:rRNA from 1 species